GAUGAACGCUGGCGGCGUGCCUAAUACAUGCAAGUCGAGCGAAUGGAUUAAGAGCUUGCUCUUAUGAAGUUAGCGGCGGACGGGUGAGUAACACGUGGGUAACCUGCCCAUAAGGCUGGGGUAACUCCGGGAAACCGGGGCUAAUACCGGAUAACAUUUUGAACCGCCUGGUUCGAAAGUGACAGGCGGCUUCGGCUGUUACUUAUGGAUGUACCCGCGACGCAUUAGCUAGUUGGUGAGGUAACGGCUCACAAAGGCAACGAUGCGUAGCCCGCCUGAGAGGGUGAUCGGCCACACUGGGACUGAGACACGGCCCAGACUCCUGCGGGAGGCAGCAGUAGGGAAUCUUCCGCAAUGGACGAAAGUCUGACGGAGCAACGCCGCGUGAGUGAUGAAGGCUUUCGGGUCGUAAAACUCUGUUGUUAGGGAAGAACAAGUGCUAGUUGAAUAAGCUGGCACCUUGACGGUACCUAACCAGAAAGCCACGGCUAACUACGUGCCAGCAGCCGCAGUAA
rnacentral:rRNA from 1 species